CUCAGUGGAACAGCUGAUGCCUGCUCCUGCUGCCCUGGUUAUUCAGCUAGUUUCCUGCAGCUUCUCCUGGCUUCUGGCUUCCAUGACAUUCCAGUGUUUGCUGGCUUCCUCACUCCUCUUCCAAGAUCAGUUGAGAAGCUGGCAAGAAAAUAUGUUCUUCAGCAGCCUAAAAGUAAUUAAGCCAAAUAAAGAACCAUGAAAGCCUGUUUCACAUCCAAACCUGCAAUACAGAUUAUAAACUGAAGCUCUUUUAUUUUACCUGUUCAGCAAACUCCUCCUGCAGGAAAUGAAUAAACAAACUAUCUUGAGG